UACGUAGGUAGCAAGCGUUAUUCGGAUUUACUGGGCGUAAAGGGUCCGCAGGGGGCCUGCCAAGUCUGAUGUGAAAGCCCACGGCUCAACCGUGGAACGGCAUUGGAAACUGGCGGGCUAGAGUGCAUGAGGGGUGAGCAGAAUUCCUGGUGUAGCGGUGGAAUGCGUAGAUAUCAGGAGGAAUACCGAUGGCGAAGGCGGCUCACUGGCAUGCAACUGACCCUCAGGGACGAAAGCGUGGGUAGCAAACAGG
rnacentral:rRNA from 1 species